AUUCCAGCUCCAAUAGCGUAUAUUUAAGUUGUUGCAGUUAAAAAGCUCGUAGUUGGAUUUCGGAUGGGUUUGACCGGUCCGCCUUUGGUGUGCACUGGUCGCGCCUAUCUUGCUGUCGGGGACGCGCUCCUGGCCUUAAUUGGCUGGGACGCGGAGUCGGCGAUGUUACUUUGAAAAAAUUAGAGUGUUCAAAGCAGGCCUAAGCUCUGAAUACAUUAGCAUGGAAUAACGCUAUAGGACUCUGGUGCUAUUUUGUUGGUUUCGAACACCGGAGUAAUGAUUAACAGGGACAGUCAGGGGCAUUCGUAUUCCGCCGAGAGAGGUGAAAUUCUCAGACCAGCGGAAGACGAACCACUGCGAAAGCAUUUGCCAGGGAUGUUUUCAUCA
rnacentral:rRNA from 1 species